GGGCAAAGGGAAUUCCCAGUGUAGCGGUGAAAUGCGUAGAUAUUGGGAAGAACACCGGUGGCGAAAGCGCUUUGCUGGACCGAACCUGACGCUGAGGGACGAAAGCUAGGGGAGCGAAUGGGAUUAGAUACCCCAGUAGUCCUAGCCGUAAACGAUGGAGACUAGGUGUUGCCUGUAUCGACCCGGGCAGUGCCGAAGCCAACGCGUUAAGUCUCCCGCCUGGGGAGUACGCACGCAAGUGUGAAACUCAAAGGAAUUGACGGGGGCCCGCACAAGCGGUGGAGUAUGUGGUUUAAUUCGAUGCAACGCGAAGAACCUUACCAGGGCUUGACAUCCCGCGAACCCUCGCGAAAGUGAGGGGUGCCUACGGGAACGCGGAGACAGGUGGUGCAUGGCUGUCGUCAGCUCGUGUCGUGAGAUGUUGGGUUAAGUCCCGCAACGAGCGCAACCCUCGUCCUUAGUUGCCAGMCUUAAGUGGGGCACUCUAGGGAGACUGCCGGUGAUAAACCGGAGGAAGGUGGGGAUGACGUCAAGUCAUCAUGCCCCAUAUGUCCUGGGCUACACACGUACUACAAUGGUCGGGACAACGAGCAGCCAACUCGCGAGAGUGAGCUAAUCUCUUAAACCCGGCCUCAGUUCAGAUUGCAGGCUGCAACUCGCCUGCAUGAAGGAGGAAUCGCUAGUAAUCGCAGG
rnacentral:rRNA from 1 species